rnacentral:lncRNA from 10 species
UUUGUGGUGAAAGGCCGGUGAUCUGAUGCCACGAUGUUCAGAGUGUCACUGGGUAGAGAAAAGGAGGUGACCAGUAAGGGGAGGGGAGGUGAGGAACUUAGAGGGUGAGGAUAGAUAUAGGGAAAAUCCUCCGUGUGGGAAGCAGGCAAAGCCGACUCCAAUUUCAGCUCUGCCGCUUAGGCCAUGUGGUCUGUCGUGAGUUACUGCAUCUAUGUGAACCUCAGUUUACUCAUCUACAGAAUGAGUGUGGCACAGUCUGUCUGUGUCACAGGAGACUUCAGUGAGAGCCUUGGGAUAGCAAUGUUUAAGAGUGAAGAUAGCAGAGAAAAGCCGAACUUAGAGUCUAGCUGAAGUGAGAUGGUGGAGGUAGUUCUACUCUCAUGGAAUUGUAUACCAAUUCCCUCUCAUCAGCUCUCCAACCCCAACCUGCUGGCAACAAGCAUUCACAAGUUCAGUGUUAAGCUUUGUUGAAUAACUUGGACUCAUAGCCUUCCUUGGAUGUGGGGAUUCUAAUGGCCCAGAAGGGGAAGGAGGGAUGAGCUAGAAGCCUGACUUAAUAGACCGAGAGUGGUAUGCAAGCCACUCAGUUCUUCCCCAAUGCCGUUCAUGACUACGGUCCUCACACAUAUAUUAAGGCUGUCCUCGGGCCAGGUGCUCAUGCCUGUAAUCCCAGCACUUUGGGAGGCCGAGGCAGGUGCAUCACUGGAGGCCAGGAGUUCGAGAUCAGCCUUGGCAACAUGGUGAAACCCUGUCUCUACUAAAAAUAGAAAAAAAUUAUCUGAGCGUAGUGGUGGGCGCCUGUAAUCCCAGCUACUCUGGAGGCCGAGGUGAGAGAAUUGCUUGAAUCCAGGAGGCGGAGGCUGCAGUGAGCCAAGAUAGCCCCAAUGCACUCCAGCCUGGGGAACAGAGGGAGACUCUGUCUGAAAAGAUGAAAAAAAAGCCAUCCUCCAUCCAAGGCUGUGGGUGGCUAAGGCACAGGCAGGCCCUCGAGGGGCUCCUGGGCCAAAGAAGACGUAGGGAAGAACAGGGAGAGAGGGCUCAUGGCAGCAGAUCCUCUGCCCAAUGAGGGAGGCAGGCAGGUGGCCUGGAUUCAGAGAUCUCUGCAGGCCAAGGGCUCAGAGGCAGUGAGGGGCGGAGGAGAGAGAAUGCCCACGCAAACCAGGUCAGGGCCUCAAGAGGAAAUGGCUUUGCGGGGCCAGAGAAAGGCCUGGCUGGAGCAGGGGAGUCAGGUGGGGGAGGGGAUGACUGCUGGGACCACACUGUGGGUGCCCUGAAGGUCAGGGGCAGGGGUCCCAUUGUACUCUGUAAGAGGCCCCAGAGCCUUGUGAGUGCCUGUGGGCCAUCUAAGAUGCCCACUCCAGGAGACUGUGGGGGCAGAAAGCAUUAUCUGACCUGGUGAGGAAGCAUAUUCUUAAGGCUCUCAGAUGAUGGCCAGUUAGCUCCAUAGGGCUGU